rnacentral:rRNA from 1 species
UUAAGUUAUUAAGGGCGCACGGUGGAUGCCUUGGCACUAGAAGCCGACGAAGGACGUUACUAACGACGAUAUGCUUUGGGGAGCUGUAAGUAAGCUUUGAUCCAGAGAUUUCCGAAUGGGGAAACCCAGCACGAGUUAUGUCGUGUUAUCGAUAUGUGAAUACAUAGCAUAUCUGAAGGCAGACGCGGAGAACUGAAACAUCUUAGUACCCGCAGGAAGAGAAAGAAAAAUCGAUUCCCUGAGUAGCGGCGAGCGAAACGGGAAGAGCCCAAACCAACGAGCUUGCUUGUUGGGGUUGUAGGACACUCUAUACGGAGUUACAAAAGAACAGACUAGACGAAUCAUCUGGAAAGAUGAAUCAAAGAAGGUAAUAAUCCUGUAGUCGAAAGUUUGUUCACUCUUGAGUGGAUCCUGAGUACGACGGAACACGAGAAAUUCCGUCGGAAUCUGGGAGGACCAUCUCCCAAGGCUAAAUACUCUCUAGUGACCGAUAGUGAACCAGUACCGUGAGGGAAAGGUGAAAAGUACCCCGGAAGGGGAGUGAAAUAGAACUUGAAACCGUGUGCUUACAAGUAGUCAGAGCCCGUUAAUGGGUGAUGGCGUGCCUUUUGUAGAAUGAACCGGCGAGUUACGAUUUGAUGCAAGGUUAAGCAGUGAAUGUGGAGCCGUAGCGAAAGCGAGUCUGAAUAGGGCGUUGAGUAUUUGGUCGUAGACCCGAAACCAGGUGAUCUACCCAUGACCAGGUUGAAGUUCAGGUAACACUGAAUGGAGGACCGAACCGACUUACGUUGAAAAGUGAGCGGAUGAGUUGUGGGUAGCGGAGAAAUUCCAAUCGAACCUGGAGAUAGCUGGUUCUCUCCGAAAUAGCUUUAGGGCUAGCCUCAAGUGAUGAUUAUUGGAGGUAGAGCACUGUUUGGACGAGGGGCCCUUAUCGGGUUACCGAAUUCAGACAAACUCCGAAUGCCAAUCAAUUUAACUUGGGAGUCAGAACGCGGGUGAUAAGGUCCGUGUUCGAAAGGGAAACAGCCCAGACCACCAGCUAAGGUCCCAAAAUAUAUGUUAAGUGGAAAAGGAUGUGGCGUUGCCCAGACAACUAGGAUGUUGGCUUAGAAGCAGCCAUCAUUUAAAGAGUGCGUAAUAGCUCACUAGUCGAGUGACACUGCGCCGAAAAUGUACCGGGGCUAAACAUAUUACCGAAGCUGUGGAUUGUCCGUAAGGACAAUGGUAGGAGAGCGUUCUAAGGGCGUUGAAGCAUGAUCGCAAGGACAUGUGGAGCGCUUAGAAGUGAGAAUGCCGGUGUGAGUAGCGAAAGACGGGUGAGAAUCCCGUCCACCGAUUGACUAAGGUUUCCAGAGGAAGGCUCGUCCGCUCUGGGUUAGUCGGGUCCUAAGCUGAGGCCGAUAGGCGUAGGCGAUGGAUAACAGGUUGAUAUUCCUGUACCACCAUUAUUCGUUUUAAGCGAUGGGGGGACGCAGUAGGAUAGGCGAAGCGUACGAUUGGAUUGUACGUCCAAGCAGUGAGAUUGAGUGUUAGGCAAAUCCGGCACUCUCAAGAUUGAGCUGUGAUGGGGAGAGGAAAUUGUUUCCUCGAGUCGUUGAUUUCACACUGCCAAGAAAAGCCUCUAGCUAGAAUUGUGGUGCCCGUACCGCAAACCGACACAGGUAGUCAAGAUGAGAAUUCUAAGGUGAGCGAGCGAACUCUCGUUAAGGAACUCGGCAAAAUGACCCCGUAACUUCGGGAGAAGGGGUGCUCUUUAGGGUUAACGCCCAGGAGAGCCGCAGUGAAUAGGCCCAAGCGACUGUUUAUCAAAAACACAGGUCUCUGCUAAACCGUAAGGUGAUGUAUAGGGGCUGACGCCUGCCCGGUGCUGGAAGGUUAAGAGGAGUGGUUAGCUUCUGCGAAGCUACGAAUCGAAGCCCCAGUAAACGGCGGCCGUAACUAUAACGGUCCUAAGGUAGCGAAAUUCCUUGUCGGGUAAGUUCCGACCCGCACGAAAGGCGUAACGAUUUGGGCACUGUCUCAACGAGAGACUCGGUGAAAUCAUAGUACCUGUGAAGAUGCAGGUUACCCGCGACAGGACGGAAAGACCCCGUGGAGCUUUACUGUAGUCUGAUAUUGAAAUUCGGCACAGCUUGUACAGGAUAGGUAGGAGCCUGAGAUACGUGAGCGCUAGCUUACGUGGAGGCGUUGGUGGGAUACUACCCUCGCUGUGUUGGAUUUCUAACCCGCACCAUUUAUCAUGGUGGGAGACAGUGUCAGAUGGGCAGUUUGACUGGGGCGGUCGCCUCCUAAAGAGUAACGGAGGCGCUCAAAGGUUUCCUCAGAAUGGUUGGAAAUCAUUCAUAGAGUGUAAAGGCAUAAGGAAGCUUGACUGCGAGACUUACAAGUCGAGCAGGGUCGAAAGACGGACUUAGUGAUCCGGUGGUUCCGCAUGGAAGGGCCAUCGCUCAACGGAUAAAAGCUACCCCGGGGAUAACAGGCUUAUCUCCCCCAAGAGUUCACAUCGACGGGGAGGUUUGGCACCUCGAUGUCGGCUCAUCGCAUCCUGGGGCUGUAGUCGGUCCCAAGGGUUGGGCUGUUCGCCCAUUAAAGCGGUACGCGAGCUGGGUUCAGAACGUCGUGAGACAGUUCGGUCCCUAUCCGUCGUGGGCGUAGGAAAUUUGAGAGGAGCUGUCCUUAGUACGAGAGGACCGGGAUGGACAUACCUCUGGUGUACCAGUUGUCGUGCCAACGGCAUCGCUGGGUAGCUAUGUAUGGACGGGAUAAGUGCUGAAAGCAUCUAAGCAUGAAGCCCCCCUCAAGAUGAGAUUUCCCAACUUCGGUUAUAAGAUCCCUCAAAGAUGAUGAGGUUAAUAGGUUCGAGGUGGAAGCAUAGCGAUAUGUGCAGCUGACGAAUACUAAUCGAUCGAAGACUUAAUCAA